UACGAAGGGUGCAAACGUUGCUCGGAAUUAUUGGGCGUAAAGAGCUCGUAGGCGGCCUGUUGCGUCGGUUGUGAAAGCCCGGGGCUUAACCCCGGGUCUGCAGUCGAUACGGGCAGGCUAGAGUUCGGUAGGGGAGAUCGGAAUUCCUGGUGUAGCGGUGAAAUGCGCAGAUAUCAGGAGGAACACCGGUGGCGAAGGCGGAUCUCUGGGCCGAUACUGACGCUGAGGAGCGAAAGCGUGGGGAGCGAACAGG
rnacentral:rRNA from 1 species